UUGUAAAUGGUAUUUGAGAGUGGAU
rnacentral:piRNA from 1 species